GUCAUGGCUCAGGAUGAACGCUAGCGGCAGGCUUAACACAUGCAAGUCGAGGGGCAGCAUAAUGGUAGUAAUACUACUGAUGGCGACCGGCGGACGGGUGCGUAACGCGUAUGCAACCUACCCUUUACAGGGGGAUAACACUGAGAAAUCGGUACUAAUACCCCAUAAUAUUCUGGGAGGCAUCUUUCGGAGUUGAAAGCUUUGGUGGUAAAGGAUGGGCAUGCGUUGUAUUAGCUAGUUGGUAAGGUAACGG
rnacentral:rRNA from 1 species